AGGACGAACGCUGGCGGCGUGCUUAACACAUGCAAGUCGAGCGGAAAGGCCCUUCGGGGUACUCGAGCGGCGAACGGGUGAGUAACACGUGAGCAACCUGCCCCUGGCUCUGGGAUAGCUCCGGGAAACCGGGAUUAAUACCGGACAUGACCUCCUCCCGCAUGGGUGGGGGUGGAAAGUUUUUCGGCCAGGGAGGGGCUCGCGGCCUAUCAGCUUGUUGGCAGGGUAAUGGCCUACCAAGGCGACGACGGGUAGCCGGCCUGAGAGGGCGACCGGCCACACUGGGACUGAGACACGGCCCAGACUCCUACGGGAGGCAGCAGUGGGGAAUAUUGCGCAAUGGGCGAAAGCCUGACGCAGCGACGCCGCGUGCGGGAUGAAGGCCUUCGGGUUGUAAACCGCUUUCAGCAGGGACGAAUCAGACGGUACCUGCAGAAGAAGCGCCGGCUAACUACGUGCCAGCAGCCGC
rnacentral:rRNA from 1 species